UUUCCUCAGGGCCUUUUCAUGCCUCCCCAGACCCAAUAGGAUAAAAAAAGUUCUUUAUGCAAAUCAGCUUCCCCUCUCUUCCUGCCCCAGGUUUCACCCUGCUGUCCUGUGGGGAGACCUUGAGAGAGGCAGCUGCUGAGAACUCACACAGACCCAUGAUCACACAGGACCGAGACACUAAUGAAUAGGUGUUGGUGCCUUUCCCCAGAUUAGCUCUCCCAAUUUUGGAGUGGCCAAAGGAUGGGGGAUAUGUCCUCCCUCCUGCCACACAAUCUGGUUUAUAACUAAAUCUAACCCCAUCCUUGUGAGCAUUUUCUUUUCUCCCUGCUGAAAUGCUUGUGGUGUUUUUUGGGAGCUAGUAGCAGGCCCCAGCAUCCUUUGAUUGCCCCCUAAUGGAAUCUCUUUGAUGACUGAGGAGGAUGAAGGAGAGAGGAAUCCGGGCCAUGACAGAGAUGGCCCCAGUUCUCUAAUUUUUGAGGCACUCACUAUGUCUGCAAUUGAGACCUCUAUUCCCCAAGAGUCCCUUAUUCUGUCUUUGUUAAAUUUCAGAAUGUACAUUUGUUCCUGCUGUGUGAUUGUCCAUCUGUCUGUGCCUGGACAACCACUCCAUCCCCACUGGAUGCAGUAAACAGCACCACUGCCCACUGGCAUUGUGAACCUGGUGUCCAUCACUGAGCUCUGCUGGGGAUAGUCUAUGUGGCAGCUGCUGUAGCUCUUGCUCAGAGUGCUGGUGCAACCGUGUGGCUCCCGUGAUGGGAAUUCAUUGUAUUUUUCUGGCUGAAGAGUAUUCCAGUGUCUACGCAUGGGACAGUUUCCUUAUCCCUUCAUCUGCAGAUGGACAGGAUCCCAGAGUAUUGCAGAAGCCCAAGUGGCCAGACCUAGAGCAAGAGCCCAAAAUCAGAACCCUGCAAGCUGGAGACCAGCAGGCAUUACCAUCUGGGGCUCCCGUAGGAGCUGGCGGUGCCAGGCCACGCUGUCCACUCGACUCUGCUGCUUGUUCCAGUGCAUGAGGAGGUGACCUUAACUUCCAGACAAUGUGGCCAGAUGAGGGAACACAGACUGCAUGGAGGACCUUGGAAGAGUUUGCGGGGCACAGCCCUGCUGGCACAAAGCCUGACACAGAAGGACACAGACACCCCUGCACGGUGAACAGUGACUGAUACUUGUCAUUUACAAGCCUCUUCUUCAGCUCAUCCCCAUGUUGAAAGCAAGAGCUGCUGAGGUAGGGUUACAUGCUGCCAAAAAUGAAAACUGAGGUUCAGAGAGUAUGUGAUUGCUUCAAUGGGCCCAGAGUAGUGAUGAGUUAUCCCCAGUGCUGAUGUGACAAAAUCUUGCCAUUCUACUCAUAGUGUUGCUUCUUCCAGGGCAGUGGAUGUAGGAGUCUCUUCUGGGAGCUGAACCUUUGCAGGAGGCUGGACUAGCAGGGAGAGAUGCAGAGAACUGUGGGCACAGGACAGGGUCCACCGAUUGCGAAAGCAAGAAUGGAAUGAGAAGUAUGAGCAAUGGAUCGAUAUACUAGUCGAACUGAAAUAAGAUAUUGUCAGAACUAUUUGUCCAAGGAAAAUCAGAUGUUCACAACAGAAGUUACAUUCUGAGCUAGAUUUAUCAGAGCCUCCAGCCAGGAUCACUGCACCAGGCCUAGAGAGCAGAGGGAAGAUUUGUGUCUCACUUUCCCAUGGGCCUGGAGCCCUGUGUAAGCCUCAGAGCCACUGUGAAAUCCACUGCCCCUGUGCAGACCCCGAGACAGACCCAUUCUCAGGCUGCAGCACAGCAACGUGCAAAAUCCUUGCACAGGCCGACGCAUCUUUAGAUCCCAAGAUGUGGCUGGGAGCCUCAGAGCCCUGUUUCUUACUUGAGUCCAAGUAGAAGUUCACGAGAUAUUAGAUAGGGUUCCCUGGAUUCUGCCAGAACCAGUCACCGAUUUCUUCUGAUGGAAUCACUGAUUCAUUGUGGUGAUUAUCCAAGGGUGUAUAAAUAUCUUAAAACACACAAAAUUGGGCACUUUAAAUAUCAGGGGUUUAUUUUGUUAAUUAUUCCUCAAUAAAAAGACACAUAAAAAAUA